rnacentral:rRNA from 1 species
UACGUAGGGUGCAAGCGUUGUCCGGAAUUACUGGGCGUAAAGGGCUCGUAGGUGGCCAACUAAGUCGGACGUGAAAUCCCUCGGCUUAACCGGGGAACUGCGUCCGAUACUGGUUGGCUUGAGUUUGGGAGAGGGAUGCGGAAUUCCAGGUGUAGCGGUGAAAUGCGUAGAUAUCUGGAGGAACACCGGUGGCGAAGGCGGCCUGCUGGGCAGUAGCUGACACUGAGGCGCGACAGCGUGGGGAGCAAACAGG